GAUGAACGCUGGCGGCGUGCCUAAUACAUGCAAGUCGAGCGAACAGACGAGGAGCUUGCUCCGCUGACGUUAGCGGCGGACGGGUGAGUAACACGUGGAUAACCUACCUAUAAGACUGGGAUAACUUCGGGAAACCGGAGCUAAUACCGGAUAAGAUAUUGAACCGCAUGGUUCAAUAGUGAAAGACGGUUGUUCUGUCACUUAUAGAUGGAUCCGCGCCGCAUUAGCUAGUUGGUAAGGUAACGGCUUACCAAGGCAACGAUGCGUAACCGACCUGAGAGGGUGAUCGGCCACACUGGGACUGAGACACGGUCCAGACUCCUACGGGAGGCCGCAGUAGGGAAUCUUACGCAAUGGGCGAAAGCCUGACGGAGCAACGCCGCGUGAGUGAUGACGGUCUUCGGAUCGUAAAACUCUGUUAUUAGGGAAGAACAAAUGUGUAAAUAACUAUGCACGUCUUGACGGUACCUAAUAAGAAAGCCACGGCUAACUACGUG
rnacentral:rRNA from 1 species